AUUGCCCCAGGAAAGGCAGACUCCCCAAGCUUGCCCAACUGGGCAGAGGAUCUUCCUCUCAUCGUGACUGAUGUGUCUGCUUUCUACUCUCAAGAAUUUCUGCACAGCACAGGGCUACUUUGCACGUUAAAAGAAUAGAAACUUUGACUGACUUGUUUCUCUUUACAGUCAUUCACAGAACAGACCCAGAAGACCCAGCUAUGCUUGUGGCUCAAACUGGAACACUCAGCCCACUGGAACACUCAGUCUCCUAAGCUGUUGUACGCUGAGGAUCUGAAACAUCAGAACAGAGAAGAGAAGACUU